AAUGAACGUUGGCGGCGUGGAUUAGGCAUGCAAGUCGAGCGUGAUAGGUUUGGUGCUUGCAUUAAACCUUGAAAGCGGCGAAAGGGACAGUAACGCGUAGAUACCUACCUCCAGGUCCGGGAUAGCGGCGGGAAACUGCCGGUAAUACCGGAUAAUGUCUUUGGAACAAAGGUGUGAUUCCGAUUGGAGACGGAUCUGCGUCCUAUUAGCUAGUUGGUGGGGUAAUGGCCCACCAAGGCGAUGAUGGGUAGCCGGCGUGAGAGCGUGGCCCGCGUCACUGGGACUGAGACACUGCCCAGACACCUACGGGUGGCUGCAGUCGAGAAUCUUCGGCAAUGGGCGCAAGCCUGACCGAGCGACGCCGCGUGUGGGAUGAAGGCCUUCGGGUUGUAAACCGCUGUCGGAGAGGCGGAAAUCUCUAGGGGUUCUCCCCUAGAGUUGACCUAAUCUCGGAGGAAGUCCGGGCUAAGUUCGUGCCAGCAGCCGCAGUAAUAC
rnacentral:rRNA from 1 species